CGACCUGGCGAUGGGGUCCAAGCCCGGGGUCGUUAGUCGUUCGUCGUCGUUAUAUGGUUUGGGCACUUGAGGUUUUGUUUAGUGAUUGUGAAUUCCGAUGCUCCAAUAAAGAAUCGCGUGUAAUCGAAAUGGGUUACUAGGAUGGAGGCGAUUAUACGGUUAUGGGCGCCGUCUACAAGUGGGAAGACUGAUUAGCAACCUCCGUCUGCAGUAUUGUCAUCGAGGAAACAUGGGACACUGCAAAUAUACUCCAGAAUUGGUCGUACUUGCAUACUUGGAGCCUAUCUACAGUCUGGACUGAUUGAUGAUAGUCCCAAUCUACUGAUUACCUGGAUAUCGUCUAUGGUGAAGUAUAGAAGAUUCCAAAUCCUCUUAGAGGAAAGUUCAGUGCACUGGGUUAUAGAACAAGAUUCUGAUGGUGGCAAAAACCAGCCAGGCUUUCGAAGUCUCCUGCUAGGAACACCUGAAUUGAUAGUUUUGGAACCUGAACCUCAGUCUGGUUUAGAGGAAUCCACC